GAUGAACGCUGGCGGCGUGCCUAAUACAUGCAAGUCGAGCGAACAGACGAGGAGCUUGCUCCUCUGACGUUAGCGGCGGACGGGUGAGUAACACGUGGAUAACCUACCUAUAAGACUGGGAUAACUUCGGGAAACCGGAGCUAAUACCGGAUAAUAUAUUGAACCGCAUGGUUCAAUAGUGAAAGACGGUUUUGCUGUCACUUAUAGAUGGAUCCGCGCCGCAUUAGCUAGUUGGUAAGGUAACGGCUUACCAAGGCAACGAUGCGUAGCCGACCUGAGAGGGUGAUCGGCCACACGGGAACGGAGACACGGUCCAGACUCCUACGGGAGGCAGCAGUAGGGAACCUGCCGCAAUGGGCGAAAGCCUGACGGAGCAACGCCGCGUGAGAGAUGGAGGUCUUCGGAUCGUAAAACUCUGUUAUUAGGGAAGAACAAAUGUGUAAGUAACUAUGCACGUCUUGACGGUACCUAAUCAGAAAGCCACGGCUAACUACGUG
rnacentral:rRNA from 1 species